GAUCAUGUUUAAGUACAGAAGGUUCUUGAACUUUCAUUGAUGCAGUGGCUCUUCGCUUUGUUGACAAUGAAAUGUUCUACACUUUCUUUAAAAACAAAUGGUUUAAAAACUACCACACUUAACUGAAAAAAAAGCAAAAACAAAAAGUAAAUACUUUUCAAGCCAGCUGACCACCUUUUGUUCACAGCUAGGAAUGGUAGCAGAAUGCUAUGUGGUUAGAUACAGAAACAAGACAACCUGAAGCUAAAUGGAUGCCCAGUGCAUAGUCAACAGGCCCAGCCUCACAGUGCACAGCCUGAGCUACGGCCACUCCCAGAGGCAUCUUCUACCACAGCCUCAACAUCAAGCAAAGAGCAUCAAGAGUUUGUCUUGGUUGUUUUGUUCGUUUUACAAACUAUGGAUAUAUGCAAUUGAUAACUCAGGAUUUCUAGCUAAUAACCAUGUAGUUAACACUACCUUACAAAUUAAAAAAAAAAAAAUGCCAGAAGCACCUUUAAAUGCCUUAUCACACUAACAGCAAAGCACACAGAGUGAGGAGAGCAUGAAGUUGCCUUUUCAUUUUAAAAAUAUUUGGAAAUAUGUACAACUUUGAUAUAGUUUCAGGGUGCUCUAGACCCACUUGACCACUUCAUGUAAAGAGUUUCUAGUUUGAGAAACAACAAUAUGAUCAUAAUCAAACUUUGUAAUUAAAACUAAUGAGGGCAACAGAUACUUCUCAAAUAAGAGAUGUGUCAAUUACAGCUCUCCCCUACUUCAAGGCAGGUGUCCCCAACCCCUGGGCCAUAGAUAGAUACCAGUCAGUGGCCUGUUAGGAACCAGGCCACACAGCAGGAGGUGAGUGGCAAGUGAGCAAAGCUUCAUCUGUAUUUACAACCACUCCCCAUGGCUCACAUUACCAUCUGAGCUCCGCCUCCUGUCAGAUCAGCAGCAGCUCUCAUAGGAGAGCAAACCCUGUUGUAAACUGUGCAUACGAGGGAUCUAGUUUACCUGCUUCUUAUGAGAAUCUAACUAAUGCCUGAUGAUCUGUCACUGCCUCCCAUCACCCCCAGAAAGACUGUCUAGUUGAAGGAAAACAAGCUCUGGGCUCCCACUGAUUCUACGUUAUGAGGAAUUUCUCAAGAUUUUAUCUUUACUGAUUGAUUUCUAAGGGAUGCUACUUGCUUCUAACAUCAUGUUAAUCAGCAAUGUAAGCUCUGGCAUAGCUUACCAACCCUAAGAGUGGCAGGGAGUUGCUCUGUGUAAUGGUGGAGUACUCAGCUGUCUUCUCCAUGGUGGUUGAGUUCUCUGGAUGGGAUCAGCUUUCUUCACAUGUCACUGAAGUGAAAGGGGACAAUUGAAACCUAUUUUGACAGGUUUAAAAGCUAAAGCCAAGCCAGGAAGAGGAAGACAAGAUGAGAAACCCCAAAUCAAGGUAAGAGAAGAAAAUAAGUGCAACAUGCCAGAAAUCCAGUAAAGCAGUUCAAGUAUCAGAAGAGCGUGAAUCAAAACCAAGUGCAAGAAGAGGCACCUUGACAUUGAACUGAAGGCCACCAGUCUCCUGCCAGUGCUUCCAAUCGCUGAACUGAACUGGGAACAAAUCAACAAGGGAAACCAAGAGAUGCAUUCCUUGAAGUUCAGCCUCCAGGCCUCAAGUAAGGCAGAGGAAGAGAAUACAUAGAUCUGUGGAGAAGAGUGGUGAUGGUGGGAGCUGCCAAUAAAGAACUAUCAAAAAAGGAUGAUGCAACAGAAAAGCCGUCACCAGAUACCAGCACCUUAAUGUUGGACUUCUCAGCCUCCAGAACUGUAAGAAAUAAAUCCCUGUUCUUUAUAAAUUACCCAGUCUCAGGUAUCCUGCUAUAGCAGCACAAAAUGGACUAUGAUAGAAAAUUGGUAUGAAGGAGUAGUACCAUUGUUAUAACAAAUACCUAAAAAUGGAAGCCACUCUGGAACUGGGUAAGGGGUAGAGUAUGGAAGAAUUUAGAGGAGCAGGCUAGAAAAAGCCUAAAUUGCUGUGUAUUACUCCAGGAUGGUAAGAAAUAAAUCUCUGUUCUUUAUAAAUUGCCCAGACUCACAGCACAAAACAAAUUAAGACAUUAAGAUUUGCCCCAUUCUUAGAAUUCAUUUCUUCCAUUUUCCCUUUAAUUAAAUCAAUGCCAGCAUCUAAGCAGUGUGCACCUUUUGACCAUAGUCUUUCUAAUUGACCAGAAGCUUAGAUGUGGAAAAUGCAAAAACUAUGCACAUUUCUGAUGGGUUUAACUUCUGAGAAAUUUUUACAAGGUUUUCCUUAUUUUAUCUGCUCCAGUAAACCUGUGGUUUCAUGAACAGGCCUAGAAUUUGAGAUUCAGCUUCUAAACUUCAAAGGUGACCUUUCAACCCAUUUGUUUAUAGACUCGGUAUUAACCUUUUGAGUUCUAGAAUAGGGUUUUAGAACUUACUUUCAUAAAAGUUUAUAUAGUCAAUUCCAUUCAUUUAUGCUAAGGACAUAGAAUAUUUCUAGAUUGCACAAUAUGUUUCUGUGGGAAUUGAAUGGAAAUCCAGGUUUCCUGACAAGAAACAAAGGAUCUUUGGGAGGCCGAGACAGGCGGAUCACGAGGUCAGGAGAUCGAGACCAUCCUGGCUAACACGGUGA
rnacentral:lncRNA from 1 species